GAUGAAGAACGUAGCGAAAUGCGAUAAGUAAUGCGAAUUGCAGAAUUCAGUGAGUCAUCGAAUCUUUGAACGCACAUUGCGCCCUUUGGUAUUCCGAAGGGCAUGCCUGUUCGAGCGUCAUUUAUCAAUCCUCAAGCUUUGCUUGGUGUUGGGUGUUUGUCCUUUCCCUGCGUCAGGACUCGCCUUAAAUUCAUUGGCAGCCGAUGUAUUGGUUUGAAGCGCAGCACAAUUUGCGACUCAGGCUGGUGACCAUGGGCGUCCAGUAAGCACAUUUAACACUUUUGACCUCGGAUCAAGUAGGGAUACCCGCUGAACUUAAGCAUAUCAAUAAGCGGAGGA
rnacentral:misc_RNA from 1 species